rnacentral:lncRNA from 1 species
GCCAGGACCAGCUCUCCUGAGCAGGCUCUCUAAGCUAUAGGAUCGCACUUUGCUGGGGACCCCAGGGAUCUGGUGGGUGUUCUUCCUGCCGCAAGAAAGACUGCACCAGAUGUCAGGACUCCUGAGUCCUACUCUUGGCUCUGCCCUAACAAACCUGGACAAGUCCCUCCUUUCUCUGAACUCAGUCUACCCACACAUAAAAUGUGGGAGUUGGAAUAAUGAUAUAAAGCUGUGGCAUUUUUGAAUGAAGUCAGGACCCAUCUCUGGGGUCAAAUUUCAGUUUGCCCACUGCGGUUCUUUGGAAGUACAUCCUUCUUGCAGACUUAUUUUUAGCUCACGAGGUCUUUUAUAACGAUCUGAAUUAGCUGCCCAUCGUGACGACUUGAAGAAUUCACAUAAAAUUCUGUAUUUCCAGCUUCUCUUGAAAAAUCAGAUCUGUCCACAUUGGGCCAAUGGGUUUGCCAACGGGAGCUCCGACUGGGUAACGGCCGCCCCCUGCCGGCGAGAUUGAUGUAUUACAGGUGGCGGCCGACACCUUCACCCACAGUUUCUGCCCAGCCCAGCAGGCCACAGUGUGCAAGGUGCCUUGGCCGACAGUGUAAGCCGAGGAGGAGGGGGAAGAUCACCGGAUGCCAUCCUAGGAAGGAAAUAGUGACUAUCUACGUAUGUCUGGCACUCGGUGGUGGAGAAGUCCCUCAGCUUGGAGCUUGGCUACUCUCAUUGUGGACCUCCGGCCAGCAGCACAGUCUCCAAGGAGAACUCAUUAGAAAUGCAAAUUAUUGAACUCCACCCCAGACCUGGGGAAUCAUUAUUUGCAUUUUAGGGAGAUACCGAGUGUUUUGCAUGCAUUUUCAUUUUACCGUUAGAUAAAAGUGCCUUCAGACCAGUGGUUCUCACUGUUGGCUUUACUUGGAAUCCCCUGGGAGACUUUUAAAAAUGCUGUUGUAGGAGUGCCUGGGUGGUUCAGUCAGUUAAGCUUCGACCUCUGCCUCGGCUCAGGUUAUGAUUCCCGGGUCUGUGGGUUCAAGCCCUGCAUUGGGCUCUGUGCUCACAGCUCAGAGUCUGGAGCCUGCUUCAGAUUCUGUGUCUCCUUUCUCUGCCCCUCUCCCACUCAUGCUCUCACUCUCUCUCUCUCUAAAUAAAUAAACGUUAAAAAAAAUUUUUUUUUAAAAAUGCUGACGUCUGGGGCUCUCCCUGGGGCACAGCCUGGGCCUGGGCUCUCAGGUAGUUUGCUUAAAACUCCUCAGGUGACUUCAGUGUGUGCCAGCCCAGAGAUCACAGCUCUACGCAAAGGCUCUAAGGAGAUUAAAAAA